rnacentral:rRNA from 1 species
UACGAAGGGGGAGCUAGCGUUGCUCGGAAUUACUGGGCGUAAAGCGCACGUAGGCGGUCUUUUAAGUCGGGGGUGAAAUCCUGGAGCUCAACUCCAGAACUGCCUUCGAUACUGGAAGACUCGAGUCCGGGAGAGGUGAGUGGAACUGCGAGUGUAGAGGUGAAAUUCGUAGAUAUUCGCAAGAACACCAGUGGCGAAGGCGGA